rnacentral:rRNA from 1 species
AUUGAACGCUGGCGGCAGGCCUAACACAUGCAAGUCGAGCGGAUGAGUGGAGCUUGCUCCAUGAUUCAGCGGCGGACGGGUGAGUAAUGCCUAGGAAUCUGCCUGGUAGUGGGGGACAACGUUUCGAAAGGAACGCUAAUACAGCAUACGUCCUACGGGAGAAAGUGGGGGAUCUUCGGACCUCACGCUAUCAGAUGAGCCUAGGUCGGAUUAGCUAGUUGGGGAGGUAAGGGCUCACCAAGGGGACGAUCCGUAACUGGUCUGAGAGGAUGAUCAGUCACACUGGAACUGAGACACGGUCCAGACUCCUACGGGAGGCAGCAGUGGGGAAUAUUGGACAAUGGGCGAAAGCCUGAUCCAGCCAUGCCGCGUGUGUGAAGAAGGUCUUCGGAUUGUAAAGCACUUUAAGUUGGGAGGAAGGGCAGUAAGUUAAUACCUUGCUGUUUUGACGUUACCAACAGAAUAAGCACCGGCUAACUUCGUGCCAGCCGCCGCAGUAAUAC